rnacentral:lncRNA from 1 species
AGUGAAACCAAGUAUGGGUCACCUCAGUUAGGUACAGAGAUCUUUUGUAAUGGAGUCAGGGACGUGAAAAUUGAGGUAACUAAGAAUUGUUACUACCAAGAGUCAGAGCACCCUCAGUGGGCUGGGAAUCUCUCUGAGGCUCUGGAUGCUGUAGCAGUAUUCACCUGACUGGCUUGGAAGUCCUCAGAAUGAUGUAACGGCAAAUGCAAGGGAAGGCUACC